rnacentral:piRNA from 1 species
UUACUGCUGAGAACUGAGAAGGUGUGA